AUGAAAAAGCGCCUGAGUGCCUGCUGGGUGGUCUUGUGGCUGCAUUAUCAGUGGGUGGCUGGCAAGACCCAAGUGGAGCAGAGUCCUCAGUCCCUGGUUGUCCGUCAGGGAGAGAACUGCGUCCUUCAAUGUAAUUACAGUGUGACCCCCGACAACCACUUAAGGUGGUUCAAACAGGACACAGGCAAAGGUCUUGUGUCCCUGACAGUCCUGGUUGACCAAAAAGACAAAACGUCAAAUGGGAGAUACUCAGCAACUCUGGAUAAAGAUGCUAAGCACAGCACGCUGCACAUCACAGCCACCCUGCUGGAUGACACUGCCACCUACAUCUGUGUGGUGGGCG